CCUACGGGAGGCAGCAGUGAGGAAUAUUGGUCAAUGGACGCAAGUCUGAACCAGCCAUGCCGCGUGCAGGAAGACGGCUCUAUGAGUUGUAAACUGCUUUUGUACGAGGGUAAACGCAGAUACGCGUAUCUGUCUGAAUGUAUCGUACGAAUAAGGAUCGGCUAACUCCGUGCCAGCAGCCGCGGUAAUACGGAGGAUUCAAGCGUUAUCCGGAUUUAUUGGGUUUAAAGGGUGCGUAGGCGGUCGGGUAAGUUAGAGGUGAAAGCCCGGGGCGCAACUUCGGAAUUGCCUUUGAUACUGUUCGGCUAGAGAGUAGUUGAAGUAGGCGGAAUGUGUGGUGUAGCGGUGAAAUGCUUAGAGAUCAUGCAGAACACCGAUUGCGAAGGCAGCUUACCAAGCUACCACUGACGCUGAGGCACGAAAGCGUGGCGAGCAAACAGGAUUAGAUACCCCAGUAGUA
rnacentral:rRNA from 1 species